UACGAGGGGAGCAAGCGUUGUUCGGAUUUACUGGGCGUAAAGGGCGCGUAGGCGGCCACGACAAGUCACUUGUGAAAUCUCCGGGCUUAACUCGGAACGGUCAAGUGAUACUGUCGGGCUAGAGUACAGAAGGGGCAACUGGAAUUCUCGGUGUAGCGGUGAAAUGCGUAGAUAUCGAGAGGAACACCUGCGGCGAAGGCGGGUUGCUGGGCUGAUACUGACGCUGAGGAGCGAAAAGCGUGGGGGAGCGAACAGG
rnacentral:rRNA from 1 species